GUCUACGGCCAUACCACCCUGAACACGCCCGAUCUCGUCUGAUCUCGGAAGCUAAGCAGGGUCGGGCCUGGUUAGUACUUGGAUGGGAGAACAUGCACAGAGUGGGGGACUGGCCACA
ensembl:rRNA 5S_rRNA 5S ribosomal RNA